AAACCGGGAAGCUAAUACCGGAUAAUAUAUUGAACCGCAUGGUUCAAUAGUGAAAGACGGUUUUGCUGUCACUUAUAGAUGGAUCCGCGCCGCAUUAGCUAGUUGGUAAGGUAACGGCUUACCAAGGCAACGAUGCGUAGCCGACCUGAGAGGGUGAUCGGCCACACUGGAACUGAGACACGGUCCAGACUCCUACGGGAGGCAGCAGCA
rnacentral:rRNA from 1 species